rnacentral:rRNA from 1 species
GAUGAACGCUGGCGGCGUGCCUAAUACAUGCAAGUCGAGCGAACGGACGAGAAGCUUGCUUCUCUGAUGUUAGCGGCGGACGGGUGAGUAACACGUGGAUAACCUACCUAUAAGACUGGUAUAACUUCGGGAAACCGGCGCUAAUACCGGAUAAUAUUUUGAACCGCAUGGUUCAAAAGUGAAAGACGGUCUUGGUGUCAGUUGUAGAUGGAUCCGGGCUGCAUCAGCUAGUUGGUAGGUUACCGGCUUACCAAGGCAAUGAGGGAUAGCCGGCCUGAGAGGGUGACCGGCCACAUGGGGAGGGAGAUACGGCCCAGAAUCCUACGGGAGGCAGGAGGGGGGAAUAGUGAACAAUGGGCGGAAGCCUGAUGAAGAAACGCGGGGGGCGGGAUGACGGCCUUCGGGUUGUAAACCGCAGUCGCCUGUGACGAAGCGUGAGUGACGGUAAUGGGUAAAGAAGCACCGGCUAACUACGUG